rnacentral:rRNA from 1 species
CCUACGGGGGGCAGCAGUGGGGAAUAUUGCACAAUGGGGGAAACCCUGAUGCAGCAACGUCGCGUGAGUGAAGAAGUAUCUCGGUAUGUAAAGCUCUAUCAGCAGGGAAGAGAAUGACGGUACCUGACUAAGAAGCCCCGGCUAACUACGUGCCAGCAGCCGCGGUAAUACGGAGGGGGCGAGCGUUAUCCGGAUUUACUGGGUGUAAAGGGAGCGUAGACGGUUUUGCAAGUCUGAAGUGAAAGCCCGUGGCUUAACCGCGGAACGGCUUUGGAAACUGUGGAACUGGAGUGCUGGAGAGGCAGGCGGAAUUCGUGGUGUAGCGGUGAAAUGCGUAGAUAUUAGGAGGAACCCCGGUGGCGAAGGCAGCUUGCUGGACAGUAACUGACGUUGAGGCUCGAAGGCGUGGGGAGCAAACAGGAUUAGAUACCCUUGUAGUC